CACAGUUCCAAGCAGGUGCAAGUUCAACUGGAGCUACAGCACAGCCUCUGCAGGACUAACACUAGAGCAGAUCACAGGAGUGGUGGCAGUUGUUUAAUUACUAUUUUUAGAGCACAUCUGGAUAUCUGGACCAAAAAAUUGAAAUGUUCCAAGUGCAGUUGCAUUUCACCACUGACUUCCACUGCAUGGCUGCAUGAUGAUUCCACCCAGAUUUGGAUCCUCUGAGAAGAAGAUGAAGACAACAAUGAAGAAGAAGAAGAGCAGAACUUUCUGAAACUAGUGACUGGACAGUAGAAUGUUAGAUGAAACUCGAUGCAGGUAAAGCAGACUUUCUUACUGACAGACCAAACUGGCAUAGGCUCAUGCAGGAAGGGGACUGGGAACAUGUGGCUGGAGAUAAAGGGGGCACCCACAGCAGCUGACAUUCUCAGCAGUUCAUGCAGAAUUGUGUGACUAACAGUAUGGAGCAGAUCCAGCCUCAAUGGACAUGAUGCAUAUUUCCUUCAACCUCUGCAGCUCUUUGCCAAGUGCACUUCAAUUAUGAUUUGCAUCCUCAUUUUUGGUUGGAGAAUUCCCCAUCAUCUAUAUUGUGUAUCAACAAUGGUGUGGUGUGAAAAUAGCCAGACUCACAGGACCAGCUGAGAAUAGGAAGAUCUUAAGAGGAAGAGAUGUGCUAGUCCUAGACCUGCUGACAGGGAGAACCAUCAGAGGAUCACACCGAGGAGGACCUCUGCUGCUCACCAGUGCCUGGGAGAAGAGCUGGGGUGGAGGGGGGAGCAGAAGAUGCUCAACUUCCCCCAACCUCAUCCUGUUCCUGGACAUGGAUCAACUCAGCUGGAUCCAACACUCUACAUCUUCCUGAGCAGACCUCAGAAGUAGGGUAGCUGAGCUCUCAGGUGACUUUGGGUACAAUCUGAUGGCUGGUUGAUUUUUUCUGUUUAAUGCCAAUCCUCUAGCAUCCUCUUUCCUCUUAACAAGAAGUACCAGAAGUAUUGGCAGUUGUAAGAGACAAGUGACACCAGAAGAAAUAUGAGAGAUUAUUAAUGGAUACCCAUGAUCGGCUUGCCUCGUUUUUCAGAGGAAUUUUCCAGAUGUUGCAGUAGCCUCACAUCAGCUUGCAAGGUUAUUAAAUUGGUUUCAUGCUGAUUUAUUAUUACUUCAUCUUUUCAUUUUUGCUUAUUACUGUUACUUGUGUACUUUUAUACUUACUUUCUACAGAGGAAACCAUGGACACAUUUUUCAAAUGCAAUCCUUUCACUUUCUUCAACAGUAACAGAUGACAGUCUCCACCCGCCUUUUGAGAUAAACCCUGUUUUCUGCUUUAGAACUUUGGUCCACCUAAAACUGAAAAAUAGUGAAUAUGACACAUGUAGAGCCCUUGUGUUCACGAAUAAAUAAUAGGGUGUUUGAUUACUUAGUCAGCACGCAGUAAAUGCUGCAAUUAAAGCAGUAUGGGUAAUCUGUUUUUUAACUCUGUACCAUCUUCACUGCUGUAAUUUCAUGUGGAAAUACUUAUAGUGGGUAAAUUGAUAGUUAAUUUGACCUUUCCUACCUAAUAUUUCAUAAAUGUUAAUGCAGCUUCUCCUCAAUUGUCCUAGAAGCUCUUUUUAGUCUGAUUACUAGUUCCACUUGCUAGAGAGGAGAGGAAUAUUUUUUAUGGUUUUAGUACAGGGGAAAACCACAUUUGCCAGUCUGCUCAGCACAAAAUCCUAGCAUAACUAAUCCAGUGGGGGUGGGGAUAACAAUCUUACUGCAGUUGGGUAACUGGGGUCUCUCUAUAAAAUUACAAAAUCAGCCACUGUCUUUGCUAUAAACAGCCACUAUCUAAGCAGUGUAGCAGUUACUGUUACUCUUUUGUCUUCACAUUUGUGAGAGUUCCAGGUAAAGCGUCUCCUAAAAAGGACUUUAUAAGAAAUUUGAUCUUUGAAAAUUUUUUGUACUGAAAAA